CUGCCAGCGAGGACGGGCCUGGUUGAGAGGCAGCAGGAGCUGCUGCAAAGCCGUAAAACUGAGGCAGAAGUCCUGGCAAGGGUAUGGGGAUGCCUGCACUCAGGGAGGCUGCCGGGGUGCCAGCACUCAGUUCCCUUCUUUGGCCAAUUACAAGACUGGCAUCGUGCCUUGUGAUCCAUGUGCAGUGACUGAGGCUGUGAGUGUCCUUCCUCUCCUGGUCAGACCCGGCUCAGACACGGCCCUGGGGGAACCAGCUGACGAAGGAAGAUAAGAGCGACUCCGACUCCAACACCAGGGCCCAGGUGGGCCAAGGACUUCAGUGAACACUCAGGGGAUGAAUCUGAAGCCUCCAUUUACCCACAUAUGAGGAAGGAAACGAUUGUUUCAGUAUUCAGGCCUUCUGAGGAAUGACAUCAUUUAUUCUGUCAGCAAAUAUUUCUCGGUGAACAAGAGGGAUAAGAUUUUAAAGCUAUUAAGGAGUCUGCAUUCUCGAAGAAGAGACAGAUGAGAGACAAUUUCAUUUCCGAUUCAGAUGAAAUCAUGAAGGCCUCAGUGGUGACCAAGGGGGACAGGCAUGCUGCUUUAGAUAAGGUAGUCGUCGUGCUCCUUCUGAGAAGACAAUGUUUGAACUGAGAUCUGAAAGGUGAGAACAGAAUAGUCGUUCCAAGAGCUGUGGGCAAAGGCAGGAGAUAGGACCUGACUGGUUGCAUAGGAAAGAUCUGGAGCUGCCUGUGCCUUUAUCUGCAUACCUCAUCUGAAGGGACUCACGACUGUGUUUGCUCACGAAGAGCCAUGUCUACAAGUACCUGUUUGUUUGAGGACUCAGAAAGCUUGUCUCAGUGUGGAAGACAUUAUCCAAGUCUUUGCUCUUGUCUCCUUAAUGGGGCCCAGCAACAACCCUCCACCCCUGGAAUUCUCUGCUUAGUGAUAUGUUCCUGAGAUACAUCCUGGUUUGAUGCUAAUAAGCACCAAACUGUCAAGUCUGUGUUUUUGAGCUGUCAUAUCUGUGUCUGACGUUGAGUUCAUCUCUGAAUGAAUAGAAACAGCUUCAAAUAAACUUUAUUUUUGUUAAUAUGA